CUCUUUUUUCUGCGGUCACUCUGGGGGAGUCUGCGACUUCUGUUUCGCGUUCGUCAUCAACGGUCCAUUGCAUCUGGACCUGGAGAAUCGUCUCUCCUCUGGAACGGCCCGGACAUCAACCAGGUAAGUUCCCUUACCUGCGCAGAGGCCUCCCACUUCCAUGUCUUGUCGGUCUUCUUGGGUCGAAAGAGCCCCAAAGAAAGGAAGCCGUUUCUGGUCUUACUGAAACCGCUGGUCAGUCAGUUUUCUGCGGGAGACAGCGAAAAAAAAUACGGGGGGACUUCCCUGCAGACGGUGUCGCUUUUCGCGACUUCUUUCUACCAGGGAAACUUCCGUCAGUGUGAGGACACGAACCGAGCAGUUGUUGGUUCGUCGGGAGAGACCAGAAAAGAAAAACGCGUAGUAAGGAAGAUGAGCAGCCUGCUUAGAACAGGAAACGAGGAAAAGCCCCAGGGGCAAGUUUCCUGGCUACCGACCAAGUCCUGUCCCUCGAACCCAAAGCGCUCCAGCGGGAGCCGAACGCAGCAGGCAAACCUUCAGAGAACAUUGAUAUUUUACAAGUCAGACAUCUUUUCCUGCUCCGUUGCCGUCAGAACUGCAGUAAACUCUUCUUUGGUUGAUGGCAGGUAUGUGAUGCGCACUGUAGCUGCAAUCCAGUUUCCACCUCAGCACGCAGGACCAAGGCGCUGUGGAAGAGAUAUACAUUCAGGAGUGUGUGCGCAGCUGUGUUGAGGCUGCCGUUCCGUGCCUGUUCGUCGGGAAUUCCACGAGGAGGUACUGUCGCGAGAACUCGCGUUGCCGCCUCUGUCGCGCACGUGUUUUCGCAUGUACGAUCGCGAGAUCUAGUGAUGUUUAAGGUCUAGAACGCACACAUUCGCAGAGUGCGAAUCCCCGCGCAAGAUUCCUGGACGCCGCCACUAGCAAAUCGACGUGGCUUCGCCCAGCAUUCAGGACGCGCCAUAAAAGUCUCAUCAGGGAUAUUUACGCACUUCUUGAACAGGCGUUGGCUUUUCAAUGCUAAUAUCUGCGAGAAGGAAGUGGACAAAGAUGACAAUUCGAGUAGAAGAGGAGAGACAGCCACAGAUGGCAACCGGCGACGGGAGGGCCGCAGGAGCGAAAAAUACCACUCUCUGCUGAGAAGCACCACUCCCUGAGGCUGCCCAGGAGACCGACUAUGUUUGGCAGAGAAGCUGGCUAUUCCACAAGCGGCUCAUGAGUCGAUCAUCUCCACAAAGAGGCAACCGGCAGUUUUCGCUUUCAUGCAGCGAGCACCUGCUUCGCUACGCCAACAUCUACUCCGGGACAUCUACGUGCGAGACAGGAGAGCCUGGCCCCGGUUCGUUUUACGGCAAAAAAACCUGAUGUUGCAGCCUGAGUAGCAUAUACGAAAUCCUCUCAAGAACACUUCGUUUCGGAAGUUACGUAGUCGCUUUGAAAAAUGGUGUCGAAGCCACUCCGUACAUCGGUUUGUGCCGUUGCAAACGAACGAACCCCCCAAAGGACAUAUGUUACACCGAGACUUCUCAGGUAGAGGUCUCUCUUGACAUGAACGAAAAGUGCAAACCGGAAACAUGUCCCGAG
rnacentral:lncRNA from 1 species